rnacentral:rRNA from 1 species
AUGAGUGUGCAGCCAGGCUAUUGGGUUUGGAGGGUUGAUUCAACUUAUAGAAGGGGCCGUAUGCACCAAAGAGUAGUAGAGAUGGAGAUGCUCGUGGGGUCUGCGAAGCUAUGGAGGCAGGUUGCUUCCAAAGUAGUUUCAAAGACUUCAACAUAUCCAAACAAGUGGAAUGUUGCAUAUGCUACUAUUCGGUGCACUGAUCCAGAAACUAGGGCUGGUGAUAUUGAGUUAGGUACCGACUUUGCAUGUGUGUGCAUAGAUGAAACUAUUCUGGAUAAUGAGGUGUUGGGAAAGUUGAAGUUUCUGAUUGGUGAUGCUUUUUCUUGA